rnacentral:tRNA from 2 species
UCCCCUGUAGUGUAACGGCAGCACAGCGUACUUUGGAUGCGCGGGUUCCAGUUCGAGUCUGGCCAGGGGAGC